CAGUCGCCGCGGUAAUACGAAGGGUGCAAGCGUUACUCGGAAUUACUGGGCGUAAAGCGUGCGUAGGUGGUUGUUUAAGUCUGCUGUGAAAGCCCUGGGCUCAACCUGGGAAUUGCAGUGGAUACUGGGCAACUAGAGUAAGGUAGAGGAUAGUGGAAUUUCCGGUGUAGCAGUGAAAUGCGUAGAGAUCGGAAGGAACAUCUGUGGCGAAGGCGACUAUCUGGGCCAUUACUGACACUGAGGCACGAAAGCGUGGGGAGCAAACAGGAUUAGAUACCCCCGUAGUCCCUGUCUCUUAUAC
rnacentral:rRNA from 1 species